GUUACCCAGACUGGUCUCAAACUCCUGGCCACCGGUGAUCCUCCUGCCCCAGCCUCCCAAAGCUCUGGGAUUACAGGUAUGAGCCCACUGUGCCCAGCGGCACCCCCUCCACCUUUUUCUUUAAAAAAAUAAAUAGUGGCAAGCUCUUGCUAUGCUGCCAAGACUAAUCUCAAACUCUUGGGCUUAAUUGAUCUUCCCACCUUGGACUCCCAAAAUGCUGGGAUUACAGGACAACACCCAGUCAGGUAUAGCCUUUGUCUGCAUGAUCCAAGCUAGAUUGUGGGUACACUCAUGUUCUAGGUCUCAAGAAGAAUAAAAAAUAUGGAUGAGGCACCUUUCUUUUUUCUUUUUUUUCUUUUUCUUUUCUUUUUUUUUUUCAGACAGAACCUCACUCUGUCACCCAGGCUGGAGUGCAGUGCCACGAUCUCGGCUCACUGCAACCUCCGCUUCCCGGGUUCACGCCAUUCUCCUGCCUCAGCCUCCUGAGUAGCUGGGACUACAGGUACCCGCCACCACACCUGGCUAAUUUUUUGUAUUUUUAAUAGAGAUGGGGUUUCACCGUGUUAGCCAGCAUGGUCUUGAUCUCCUGAUCUCAUGAUCCGCCAGCCUCGGCCUCAAAGUUCUGGGAUUACAGGCGUGAGCCAACGUGCCCAGCCGAGGCACCUUUCUUAAGGUCCCAGCCCAUAGGUGGUCCACAUCACUUCUGCCUACAUUCCAUGAUCAGGAGCUUAGUCACAUGAUCAGCCCUAACUGUAAGGUGGCUGGGAAAUAUAUAUAUAUGUAUGUGUCUACAUAUAUGUGUGUAUAUAUAUGUGUGUGUGUGUGUGUGUGUGUGUGUGUGUAUGCAGCCAUAGGCCGAGUAGUUCAAUUAUUGUAGAAGAAGGAAAGAAUAGGUUUUUGGAUAGUGUCAUUACAUCAACCUAGAUGUGACCCAGAUACCACCAAGUAGAGGCUCUUCAGUUAUUAUGAGCAAUUAGGUCAGAGUUUUUGUUAAAGUGGAAACAGGGAAAGUAUGAUCCAUAGAGGACAUAAGGACAUAGGAUCCCUUCGAGUAAUGGAACAUGUCCCAGGGGCUUGAAAAGAGACUGUUUUGUUUGUCCUUCCAGACAGGGGAGUUCAGGGGCAUUCAGCAGCAGACAAGGGUGAUGGAUACCCAGAACAUUGCUUAUGAAAUGAUUUAUAUUUUUAAUAAUACUUUAUAGUUUACAAGGAUCAUUUGUACAUAUUGUUUGAUUGGAUGUUGAAAACAUUCCUCAUUAGGGACAGCUAGACGUAGAGAGAUGAAAGGUCUUGCACAAAAUCACACAAUUCAUAAAUAGCAAAGGUGAGAUCUGAACCCAAGUCUUCCUAGUUUCAGUCCAGUGCUUUUUACCAAAUAAAAAUGCUACAUAUUGAUUUUUUUUUUUUAUCCUGGGAGGGUGACUAGUUGGACAUCUCAAAUGGAGUAAGGACUUUACUUUUUCACUGGACUUUACUUUUUCAGUUUCCAUGUAAUUUGGAUGUCAUUGUGAAGACGUCAAGAGUCAUGUCCACAAAGAUAAUACUGGUUAUUACUUGGUGACCACCUACUGUAAGCCAGGCCCUGAGCUGGACACUUUAUUUAUAUCUUAUUUAUUCCUCCUAAUGAUCCAGCAAGGUAGGCAUUAUUACACCUAUCUUGCAGAGGAGGAAGCUGAAGAGGUUAGGUAACUUUUCCCAAACAGAGAGCUAGUAAGUGGGUAAGCCAGGUCAUGAAUCCAAGUUAAUCUGCUAUCUUCCCUCUCAGUGCUGCCUUGAAGGACGAGGGGUAUCUGCUGCUCAGGCCUCAGGAAUGGACACAUAGGCUUCAGGCCCAUGAGGACCUCCUGGACUAAGAGCCAGUCUCACUGCCACCUGUCAGAGCCUUCUUCAAGGGAGUAAACAGAGGGGCAGGACUCACCUCACUUCGUGCUGCCAGGGCUAGAGCUAUCCUUUCUCCCCACUCCAUUCCCACCUUGCUGGGUGAGCCUGCAGUUUUUCCAAGGCAGGGCCAGCCUGUCCUGUGCUGCAAGAUGUAUUAAUCAAUUUGAUGGGGAUGUUAAAGCUUUCUCUUUGCAACUAAUUAUGGCCUGAUUUAUAGGCCUGGCCUUGGUUUGAUAGAGCUCUCCUCAUGACAGGGAUGAAUGUGGUACUGGCAUGGACCCCUUCAUCUCUUCCAUUUCUCUCUCUUCCUCCCUCCUCCCUCCCUCCCACGGCUCCUGCCUCCUGCCUCUGCUCUUGGUUCCCACAGGAACACCCUAAUGACAUGUUGACAAGCUAGUGAAGCAUGGCUCCCUCUCUGUUGCAUCUGCCUCUGGCACCACCAUUCCUCCUGUAUUCUCUGACAUGGGCAGAUGGGUGCUGUGCUGGAGGAAGCUCUGUACACCCUUUCCUUCUGGAAACAAGAAACAAUAAAAAUAUUUUGGGUUGAUGCAGCAUCUUCCUUCCCAAACAUUCCAAGAGCUUGUUGAAAUAAACUUUAUCCCUGAUGGAACUUCCAGAACACUUGCUGUGAGCUCCAAAGCAUGUUGAAGAGCGGGGCUGUCCAUGUUGAAUCCUGUUAGUCAUGCAGCUGAGGGAAUUCCAAUCACCUGACCCGGGUCUGACCGCAGUUACCAGUCUCAAGUCUGAGCAGCGUCUCCAGUGCUGGGCUGCCUUCUUGACUCCAGGAGGCAUGCCUGCUCUUACAAUGAAACUCAAGUCUUUUUUUUUCCUUCCCACAAGUUUGGCUUCUACUUUUCUAAGUGCUGUUCAUCAUAUACUCUGUGUUGUAAGUACUCAGCUCUCUAGCAUCUCUUUAUACUACCUUUUAUUCUUCUGGAAUAUCCUUCCUUCCCACCCACAAGCAUAUUAGGCAAAACUUGCCCACCGUGGUAACUGGAAACAGGACUGAGGGGAAGGAAAACUCUCUCCCAGGUGCAUGGAGUGGGAACUCAUUUAGGGCAUCUUUAGUGCCAUACAUAGAACCUGGAAUACAAUAGGAGCUCAAUUAAUACAUGUUAAAUGGAUAAAUAUUGGUUAAAUGCAUCAUGUUUCUAUACAAUUCUCUUUAAACUAUAAACUCCCCAAGCACAAAGUUAAGAACUAUGUCUCUCUUAUCAGACAAGAUGCCUCCUAACCCAGAUUAUACAGGAGCAUUGUGAGGGCAAGCCCAUGCCAACUCCACAUUCUGUGAGCUCCCAAAACUCCACCAAGGACCUUGCUUAAUGAUGACUUAGACCAGGGUUUCUCGACCUCAGCAUUAUUG
rnacentral:lncRNA from 1 species